UCCAUGAUCGCUGAGUACCCAGGUGGGGCUA
rnacentral:sRNA from 1 species